rnacentral:rRNA from 1 species
UACGAAGGGGGCAAGCGUUGUUCGGAAUUACUGGGCGUAAAGGGCGCGUAGGCGGCUUAUCAAGUCAGGCGUGAAAGCCCCGGGCUCAACCUGGGAACCGCGCUUGAGACUGGCAUGCUCGAGUUCGGGAGAGGAUGGUGGAAUUCCCAGUGUAGAGGUGAAAUUCGUAGAUAUUGGGAAGAACACCGAUGGCGAAGGCAGCCAUCUGGACCGACACUGACGCUGAGACGCGAAAGCGUGGGGAGCAAACAGG